rnacentral:rRNA from 1 species
UACGUAGGGUGCGAGCGUUGUCCGGAAUUAUUGGGCGUAAAGAGCUCGUAGGCGGUGUGUCACGUCGUUCGUGAAAACCUGCAGCUUAACUGUGGCGUGCGGUCGAUACGGGCAUCACUGGAGUUCGGCAGGGGAGACUGGAACUCCUGGUGUAGCGGUGAAAUGCGCAGAUAUCAGGAGGAACACCGAUUGCGAAGGCAGCUCGCUGGGACGUUACUGACGCUGAGACGCGAAAGCGUGGGGAGCAAACAGG